rnacentral:lncRNA from 1 species
AUGUUCAGAGCACCUUCACUGGAAGAGAGAAAGCAGAAGCGCCGUUGCACAUGCCCCGCUGCUUGUGCCGCUAAGCAGAUUCUGAACAGGUCUGAACACAGCUCGAUGGCAACUCUCUGCGCAGUCUGCCAAGGCUCCAGCUCCAAACUGCUUCUCGGCAUCUUCCACCUUCUUUUUCAGAAGCAGGGAGACGAACGCUGGAACUGUACUGCGGGUCCUGUGGAGUGCAGCAGUGGCGGAGAAGUGAGACCGAGAGAAGCGGAGUGCAGGGUGCCAGAGCGUUCUCAGGAACAGUGA